UACGAAGGGGGCUAGCGUUGCUCGGAAUCACUGGGCGUAAAGAGCGUGUAGGCGGUUUGGUAGGUCCGCUGUGAAAACUCGAGGCUCAACCUCGAGACGCCGGUGGAAACCAUCAGGCUAGAGUCCGGAAGAGGAGAGUGGAAUUCCUGGUGUAGCGGUGAAAUGCGCAGAUAUCAGGAAGAACACCCGUGGCUAAGGCGGCUCUCUAGUACGGUACUGACGCUGAGACGCGAAAGCGUGGGGAGCGAACAGG
rnacentral:rRNA from 1 species